UACGUAGGGUGCGAGCGUUGUCCGGAUUUAUUGGGCGUAAAGAGCUCGUAGGCGGUCUGUCGUGUCGGAUGUGAAAACCCAGGGCUCAACCCUGGGCCUGCAUUCGAUACGGGCAGACUAGAGUACGGCAGGGGAGACUGGAAUUCCUGGUGUAGCGGUGAAAUGCGCAGAUAUCAGGAGGAACACCGGUGGCGAAGGCGGGUCUCUGGGCCGAAACUGACGCUGAGGAGCGAAAGCGUGGGGAGCGAACAGG
rnacentral:rRNA from 1 species